rnacentral:rRNA from 1 species
AUUGAACGCUGGCGGCAUGCCUUACACAUGCAAGUCGAACGGUAACAGGUCUUCGGAUGCUGACGAGUGGCGAACGGGGGAGUAAUACAUCGGAACGUGCCCGAUCGUGGGGGAUAACGAAGCGAAAGCUUUGCUAAUACCGCAUAAGAUCUACGGAUGAAAGCAGGGGACCGCAAGGCCUUGCGCGAACGGAGAGGCCGAUGGCAGAUUAGGUAGUUGGUGGGAUAAAAGCUUACCAAGCCGACGAUCUGUAGCUGGUCUGAGAGGACGACCCGCCACACUGGGACUGAGACACGGCCCAGACUCCUACGGGAGGCAGCAGUGGGGAAUUUUGGACAAUGGGCGAAAGCCUGAUCCAGCCAUGCCGCGUGCAGGAUGAAGGCCUUCGGGUUGUAAACUGCUUUUGUACGGAACGAAAAGACUCUCUCUAAUAAAGAGGGUCCAUGACGGUACCGUAAGAAUAAGCACCGGCUAACUACGUGCCAGCCGCCGCGGUAAAAC